ensembl:snRNA U6 U6 spliceosomal RNA
GUGUUCGCUUCGGUAGCACUUAUACUAAAAUUGAAUGAUUCAGAGAUUAACAUGGCCCCCCCUGCACAAGGAUGACACAAAAAUUCUUGAAGCAUUCCAUAGAAGA